AGUGAACGCUGGCGGUAGGCCUAACACAUGCAAGUCGAACGGCAGCACAGUAAGAGCUUGCUCUUACGGGUGGCGAGUGGCGGACGGGUGAGGAAUUCAUCGGAAUCUACUUUUUCGUGGGGGAUAACGUAGGGAAACUUACGCUAAUACCGCAUACGACCUACGGGUGAAAGCAGGGGAUCUUCGGACCUUGCGCGAUUGAAUGAGCCGAUGUCGGAUUAGCUAGUUGGCGGGGUAAAGGCCCACCAAGGCGACGAUCCGUAGCUGGUCUGAGAGGAUGAUCAGCCACACUGGAACUGAGACACGGUCCAGACUCCUACGGGAGGCAGCAGUGGGGAAUAUUGGACAAUGGGCGCAAGCCUGAUCCAGCCAUACCGCGUGGGUGAAGAAGGCCUUCGGGUUGUAAAGCCCUUUUGUUGGGAAAGAAAAGCAGCAGGUUAAUACCCCGCUGUUCUGACGGUACCCAAAGAAUAAGCACCGGCUAACUUCGU
rnacentral:rRNA from 1 species